ACAAGGUUUCCGUAGGUGAACCUGCGGAAGGAUCAUUAACACGUAUCCAACGGAAAAAACCCCCCCUGUGAACAUUCAAACCUGCUCUCGUAGCCCAGCGAUCCAGCAAUCCCGGUAAAUCAUUGUCGAACAGCUUUUGAUUCGGGACUUCUGACAAAUGAGAAGUUACAGUUACGAUUGAGCGGAGAUGCAGUCAGUGUCUGAAAGUGUCAUUGAUUGUCUAAGGAUCUCGCCUCAACGAUUGCUAGAGGUCGCUCACCGACCGGCAGACAUGCAACCUGGUCCCCACCCUUUACAACCCGACACUAGGCUAAAAAAACCUCGAACAACUGUUAACAAUGGAUAUCUUGGUUCUC
rnacentral:misc_RNA from 1 species